UUGACAUCUGGCUGGUCCAGUUUGCUCCCGCUGGGCUCGACCCAAGGGGUAGGGUGUCAAGAGAGCGGGGCUCUCGGGAGAGCUGCGGCUCUCAGCUUCCGUUCAAGAAGGCGUGAACUUGCAGGGAAGCGUGGUGGAUUGUAAGCAACCAAAGGGAACGACUCGAGAGGCGAUCCAUAGGGGUUCAAAUAUAGAGGGAAAGGGCCCAUAAACAAGAGUGC
rnacentral:lncRNA from 1 species